rnacentral:misc_RNA from 1 species
UAAAGUGCGAUAUGUAGUGCGAUUUGCAUGAAUCUGUGAGUCAUUGAAUUUUUGAACGCAACUUGCGCCUCUGUGGAGGCAUGUCUGUUUGAGGGCCGAAUAAACAAUGUAGUGAUACGAAGUGAUCUGAGCGGGAGGAGAGUAGGGGGGUGGGGUGAUGAAGUGAGCUUUUUGAGCUCAUCCUCAUUGCACUCUACAAUCCUACACUCUUGCUGGAUUUAAAUGUAGCAAGAUAAUGGUCAUGAACGCCAUGAUUUCGAGUGCUAAGCAUUCUUGGAAUUGUUGAUUAUGAUCAGGAGGGGGGACCACACAUGUCCCCUCUCUAAACCCCCCUUAUAUGGCCUCAAAUCAGGCAAGAUUACCCGCUGAACUUAA